GCUGUGCUGGGGCACGACACGCCGGGGGCCGAGCGCUGCUCUUCUCCGCCCUGCGGCUGCUGGAGGAGGCAAAGGGGAGGGGAGGAGCGGACUUAGGUGGCAGGGCUAGUGGACUGUAUCUUCUGCUGAACAAAGCUGAACCACCUUCUAAUCUCUUCUGCAUAGAUUCUUAUGACAAGAUUAUGGAAAUCCCCAGCUCAUCCAGUUGUCCAAGGCUGGAUCAUAAAAAUUCUCAAGCACACGAGCUGUGAUUAUAGUCAUGGGACUCAUUUCUUCUGUGAGUAAUCCUAAUACAAGCAAGUAAACCAUUUUUU